UACGGAGGGGACUAGCGUUGUUCGGAAUUACUGGGCGUAAAGCGCACGUAGGCGGAUUUGUAAGUCAGGGGUGAAAUCCCGGGGCUCAACCUCGGAACUGCCUUUGAUACUGCAAAUCUCGAGUCCGGAAGAGGUGAGUGGAAUUCCUAGUGUAGAGGUGAAAUUCGUAGAUAUUAGGAAGAACACCAGUGGCGAAGGCGGCUCACUGGCUCAUUUCUGACGCUCAGGCGCGACAGCGUGGGGAUCAAACAGG
rnacentral:rRNA from 1 species